CCGUAAACGAUGRKGCUAAGUGUGGAGGGUUUCACCKUCAGKGCUGCAGCUAACGCAUAGCAYCGCUGGGGAGUACGGCCGCAAGGCUGAACUCAAAGGAAUUGACGGGACCGCACAAGCGGUGGAGCAUGKGUUUAAUUCGAAGCAACGCGAAGACCUUACCAGGUCUGACAUCCUUGACAAUCCUAGAGAUAGGACUUUCCCUUCGGGGACAAAGUGACAGGUGGUGCAUGGUUKUCGUCAGCUCGUGUCGUGAGAUGUUGGGUUAAGUCCCGCAACGAGCGCAACCCCUAUUGUUAGUUGCCAGCAUUCAGUUGGGCACUCUAAUGAGACUGCCGGUGACAAACCGGAGGAAGGUGGGGAUGACGUCAAAUCAUCAUGCCCCUUAUGACCUGGGCUACACACGUGCUACAAUGGAUGGUACAACGAGCAGCAAGACCGCGAGGUCAAGCGAAUCUCUUAAAGCCAUUCUCAGUUCGGAUUGCAGGCUGCAACUCGCCUGCAUGAAGCCGGAAUCGCUAGUAAUCGCGGAUCAGCACGCCGCGGUGAAUACGUUCCCGGGUCUUGUACACACCGCCCGUCACACCACGAGAGUUUGUAACACCCGAAGUCGGUGAGGUAACCUUUUUGGAGCCAGCCGCCUAAGGUGGGACAGAUGAUUGGGGUGAAGUCGUAACAAGGUAACC
rnacentral:rRNA from 1 species